rnacentral:rRNA from 1 species
CCUACGGGAGGCAGCAGUGGGGAAUAUUGGGCAAUGGAGGCAACUCUGACCCAGCAACGCCGCGUGAAUGAUGAAGGUCUUCGGAUUGUAAAGUUCUGUGAUGGGGGAUGAACACAAUGACGGUACCCCAAUAGCAAGCCACGGCUAACUACGUGCCAGCAGCCGCGGUAAUACGUAGGUGGCAAGCGUUAUCCGGAAUGACUGGGCGUAAAGGGUGCGUAGGUGGUUUAGUAAGUUGGCGGUGUAAUUCCGGGGCUUAACCUCGGCGCUACCGCCAAAAAUAUUAGACUAGAGUGCAGGAGGGGUAAGUGGAAUUCCUAGUGUAGCGGUGGAAUGCGUAGAUAUUAGGAGGAACAUCAGGGGCGAAGGCGACUUACUGGACUUUAACUGACACUGAGGCACGAAAGCGUGGGGAGCAAACAGGAGUAGAUACCCCAGUAGUC